AUUGAACGCUGGCGGCAGGCCUAACACAUGCCAGUCGAGCGGAUGAAGGGAGCUUGCUCCUGGAUUCAGCGGCGGACGGGUGAGUAAUGCCUAGGAAUCUUCCUUGUAGUGGGGGAUAACGUCCGGAAACGGGCGCUAAUACCGCAUACGUCCUGAGGGAGAAAGUGGGGGAUCUUCGGACCUCACGCUAUCAGAUGAGCCUAGGUCGGAUUAGCUAGUUGGUGGGGUAAAGGCCUACCAAGGCGACGAUCCGUAACUGGUCUGAGAGGAUGAUCAGUCACACUGGAACUGAGACACGGUCCAGACUCCUACGGGAGGCAGCAGUGGGGAAUAUUGGACAAUGGGCGAAAGCCUGAUCCAGCCAUGCCGCGUGUGUGAAGAAGGUCUUCGGAUUGUAAAGCACUUUAAGUUGGGAGGAAGGGCAGUAAGUUAAUACCUUGCUGUUUUGACGUUACCAACAGAAUAAGCACCGGCUAACUUCGUG
rnacentral:rRNA from 1 species